ACCACACCCAGACACUCUCAUGCACCAUCUGUCCGAGAGUGUCAGAAGUAGGAAGGACUCAGCACAGAGAUCUGAGAAGAUGAUCACUGUGGGUGUCAUAAACUGUAGCCCCACAUACACGCCAUGUUGUUACAUUCCACAGGAACAGCUAAAGAUACAGAUUUUGCUUCACCACUGUCUCUGCAUUUUGGUAGUAAUUGUGGGAAAGAACUUGAUGAUGACAAUGAUGACAAUGACAAAGACUACUAUGGAAGAUAAGAUAACAACAACCAACUGAUGACCUCAUCCUGGUUUGGAAGCCCCGGUUUCCAUGUGUUAGCAUAAGAAACCCUAAUGACUUGACAAAAAUCAAUAUUGUGUGAUAAAUUCAAGAGACAGUGAUGAUUAAGACUGUUACUCACUCAUAAGGAGAAUUUGAGGGCUUGUAGUACUUCUAAUUGAUGUAGAGAAAAACUGGGAGAGAGAAGGCCCUUGAAUAUAUGAAGGAUAGGGAAUCCUGCCACUUUCCUCCUUUAUUAUUAUCAGACUACGUGGCUUGUCACCAAAUAGCCCAAAGGCAUGUGAGAGAAGAGAUGUAUAUAUAUAGAGAGAAUGGCUAUAAGUGACUCACAUUAGCUGAGAAGGGCUUGUUUAAUUGGGCAUAUCAUCUUUGUAACGUAGGAGUUUCCUGUUACUAUUACUCUCUAGGCCAAGAAAUCGCUUAGUCUAGAGAAGGAAGGAAAUGAUUUCAUUUCUCUUCUUGACUUUGAGUCAAGCAGUCAGUUGAGUCUGCUUUGCAGAGUACUCACCUUUAGCUGUUGCUGUGGAAUGUAACAACAUGGCGUGUAUGUGUUUAGAAUGGGUCCCAGGGCAUCUGUGUGAAAAGAUCCUGGACCUUCACUAUAGAGUAGACCUUGGGUCAGACGCUGCACAUCCUUCUCGUACAUGCUACCUCAGUGCCGCUCUGCUGAGGAACAAUAAGAAGAUAAUACAAUAUGGACAGGGGGCUGUUGCUAUGCGAAAUUCCAGACACCCACUAGGGUGGGCAAUGGAUGGGUUAAGGCAGAGUCAAUCUGCCUCUCUCAGGAUGACAGCUGUUGCUAGGGAAGCCAGCAAUUACCAAAGAAGGCCAUAGAGACAUUGCUUAUGAAUCCGUCAACAGGUUAUGGAAAAAUAUGCAUCUUGCUUUAUAACUGACAAGCAAGACCUGCCUCUAAAUAAGAGUGGUUUGUUACUUUAUUCAGCAAUCAUUUAAUAAGUGCCCACACCACUCCAACUCCGGACACCUAGUGAACAUUGAAUGAAUUUUCUGAAUUAGCAGAGCUGUGAAAAAAACCUGCCAAGUAUGCAUCCUUGAUUGAUUGAUUACACAUGUCAUGGAUUUCAAGUUUUUAAAAAAUACAAUAAAAUUUGACAUGAUUUUAAAUAAAUUCUCA
rnacentral:lncRNA from 1 species